UACGUAGGGUGCGAGCGUUGCCCGGAUUUAUUGGGCGUAAAGGGCGCGUAGGCGGUCACGCACGUCCGUUGUGAAAUCGCUCGGCUCGAACUGGGCGGGGUCAGCGGAUACGGCGUGGCUGGAGCAAGCUAGGGGGCAAUGGAAUUCCCGGUGUAGUGGUGGAAUGCGCAGAUAUCAGGAAGAACACCCGUGGCGAAGGCGGCUCUCUGGAACGCAACUGGCGCUGAGACGCGAAAGCGUGGGGAGCGAACAGG
rnacentral:rRNA from 1 species